UCCAACACCUCAACACUGCUACAUGAAGACCGAGACUCCAACACACGAACCUUUGGAGGACAAACCACAUCCAAACCACAGCACUUAUGAUCUGAUCCUACUAGAUGGUCACCAAGAACAAUAGAGGCUAAUUUCAAGUUCAGUCUGGAAAAUGAAGUGACACGCAGAUCCACUUUCUCUCCUGGCGUAUGCAGCAGCUCCCGGGUCUGACCUGUCAGCCGCUCCAGGCUUGUCCAAUCCUAGAAACAAGCAGGACGUGCAUGUCCAGAGACUUCAGACAGCCAGAGCCGACCACUCUAAUUCAUUCUCUUAAAACUGCUGCCAGACGUGGCAGCCAAGGUGAGGCUGAGCCCGUUGGCUGACUCAGGGACUGAAAUCAACCCCAGUGUCAGUGAGCCUGUGGGGACAACCGAGCCAACUUCCUCCAAAAAGACACAGCCCCACUCUCUCCUUGGGCCACAAAAGCCUGGCAGACCUUGUCACCUGGAAGAUGAUUUAUUGAUCUACAUCACUAGCCCGAGAGUAAAAGGACCAAGCUACGUUUUCCUAUCUCAAGAGAUGAAGAAAAGAGAUUCCAAAAUGGCGGGAUAGGGAAGGAUGUACCGCUUUAGGCUACAGGAGAUCAGCAGCAAAAAAGUGGAAGAAGUGCAUUCCCUGGAACUCUGCAGUGCAAUUCCACAGAAGAAGGCGAGAUGCCAUGGAUCAGCGUGGGAGGUGCGGACACACAGCAAUGAGCAUGGACACAACACACGGCCCCCACAGCCGAGAGCCAGGGGAAGCGCCGGCUUUGGAGAGCGAGGUGAGACCACACCGCAGCAGCCCAGGCCACUGGUGAUGUAGCUGGAGGGAGAGCCUGAAGGAGGACACUGUCUUUGAGUCCAGCCUGGAGCCCUAAGGAGGACAAGGUACCAGCCUAACCCAGAAGAAAAAGGGCAUACUUUUCUCCCCCACCCCCCUACAAUGGCACCCACCAACCAGUUGGGGGAAGGCACCAUUUUGUCAACAGUAGCAGCUGUGUCAGGUCUCGUGGGCGUGCCCAGCAACGGGCAGGGACAGGUGCCAACUUGACAGCAGUGGCGGCUGGAGCAGCUCAGAUCAACCAGACAGAAAAUCAACGAACAACAGAGGUAAUCACCACUAUGGACCACAUGGACCCAACUCCUGUCUACAGAACUUUUCAUCCUACAGGGAAGAACACACAUUCUUUUCAUCAGCACAUGGAAUUUUCUAUAGGAUAGACCAUAUGCUAAGCCAUAAAGCAAGUCUCAGUAAAAUGAAAAAAAAAUCAAAAUCAUUAUUGCAUCUUUUCUGACCCCAAUGGAAUGAAGCAGCAAAUUAACAACUCAGGCAUCUCGAGAACACGUGCAAACACACGGGACUGAACAACACGCUCCUGAAUGCACAGCGGGUCACAGAAGAAACCAAAAGAGAAAUCAAAGGCAUCAAGAAAAGGGAAAGGAUUUGGAAAGGGCAAGUGUAUUUGGGGCUCAGGAUAAAGGGCGUUGACAAAGCAAAGCUACACAAUUAGAAGCAGCCCUUGAAAUCCCUGCUCCAGCUGAAUCCACACCUCAUUCUGUGGCCUGUGGACACAGAGAUUUAAUCUUCACAGUGGUUCCUUUUCCUGUAUUCACAUUACAUUAAACCUGGCUGCAAAGCCAGUCCACCAAACAAAGGUUGACACAGAACUCAAGGCAAGUCAACAUUCAACUAUGCUGAUCCAUAUGGCAAGAGAACACACUGAUUCCCCGAAUCAUCUGCUUUCCUGCUUGUUAAAGACUCUCCACUUCAUAAAACAUUCAUGCAGUCAUCAGGUAAUUCUGUUAUCUUGUUCUCUGUGUGUGAGUCUGAUUGUAUUUCCCCCUUGAUAUUAAAUAAUAUGGCCUUUGU